CUAAAUAUACUGAGCUUAAUUGGGCAAAAAGCCAAUUUUGGAUCAACCCUUGUUAAUCCGGCAAAUCUUCUUUUACGUUCAGCCUAUUGCCAACUUAGAACAGUUCAUAUCUGUCGCUCGUCUCCGCUCGUUUCCAGUUGCCCCGCCAUUUUCUUGCCGGUAGUUGGCUUCUCCUUAAGCCUCUUCGUCGGCGUUCUUCCACCUACGCUACGCCGCCACGAUCUCCUUCCCUGAUAUAUAUAUACUUGGCCGCCGCCCCGCUGCUCUCGAAGAAUUCAUUGCUUGAAAACAAUGAAGAUUACCCUUUGGUCUUUUUUCUAGUGUUUUUUCACCCUAAUAAAGUUUUUUUGUAGGUUAUGUUUAAUAAAUCAGUGACAGAAACCUUUUAUUUCGGAAGAAAAAAAAAUAACGAUACAUGCUUUCUUCUGAUGAACGGUUUGUCUUUUAACAAUAUGCAAACGAUUUGCCCUGUAACAAUAUGCAAGUAUUGAUUUUGUCUUCUUUUUCAUUCGUUUCAUAUCACAAAGCGUAUUAAUCUGAUUUAGAAUAUUAUGCGAAGGAAGUGAAUUUUGGAAUUCUGAACCAAUGUCAGCGGAAUCUAUGUAAUACCCUGAUCUUGAUCCGUGAGCGCAUUCGCUUGAUCUGGUUAGUGAACCCUCUGCAAUUCUUUCUUAGAGCCACCGACUUUGAGAACCUCAUCAAAUUCUUUAGCCCUUGGCGGCUUCUUACACGCCUGCAAAUUGUACCUGUUGGAGUUCAAAGCUGAUCAGUAAGAAAAAACCGAGAUUGUAACUGAAAGAAUAAACAAAGUUGCGGCAUACUGACUCAAGAUUUUUCCUGGACUUUUUUUGUUGUCAAGGCUAAAUUCAAAUUAUUUUGUAGGAACCUUCUUGAAUAGGAAUGAGUGUAAACGGCGUUGUGUCUAUACCAAAAGAUACAAAUCCUCCAUUAGUAGUCAAAUACUGGAAAUUCUCCCCUCUUAAUUCCGGAGGAGGUAUUGGUGACCAUGUACAAUGUGGUGCCUUGGCGUAAGCAGAUGAAUGUCCAACAUCGAAGUAAGAUUAAUAAAGCCAUACCUAUGUUAUGUGGGAGUCUACUAAACCUCAAUCUCAGGGUAAUCCAUGUGGAAGCAUGACUUCUGGAGUUAGUGAUAACAUGGAUAUUGAUAAGUAUAUGAUAGAGGGAUCUGAUGCUGAAGCCUGCACGCAGCUCUUAAAAUGUUAAAAUUCCAGAGAUUGCAGGAAGAUACCUGGAUGUUGUAGUGAACUGAUCCAAAUUCAUACAGGUGGUGAUCAAUGUCCGCUGGUAUUUCCAUGCUACAACAAAGAAACCUCUAUACUUCAAUACAAUAAAAAUCUCCUUCAAAGCAGGGGAUUCCUUCCUGAAAUAUGCCAUCUUCUUGGUGUCCUUCGAAUAACUCUUGGAGAUCAGAAUAUCCAAUAUUUAUGCAAGUUUGAAUAUCAUUGUCAGCUUAGCUCAUGAGUUGAAAAGCCACUAAAAGUCAGGGCAGAUUUUUACAGUAAAGUAGUCUUUCUUUGAAGCAAACUAUCUCCUUCAGUGAUUGCUGCUUUGCUUCAAAAUUACUCUGCCAUGAUUAUAGCUGGUUGGUGAUUGCAGUGAAGGUUAUGAUG